GGUCCUGAAGCCUGGAUAAACGACCAUGCAGAUCUCAGCCGGAUUAUCUUGGCCGGUGAAAGUGCCGGAGCCAACCUUGCACACUACGUCGCUGUCCAAGCUGGUUUGACGCCAUUGCCUGGUGUACACAUAACUAGGCUGCUUAUAGUGCACCCAUAUUUUGGGAAUGAACAGCUCGACAAAUUCUACAAAUAUUUGAGCCCAACAAGCUCCGGGUCGAGUGAUGAUCCGAAACUAAACCCGG
rnacentral:misc_RNA from 1 species